UACGUAGGGGGCAAGCGUUGUCCGGAAUCAUUGGGCGUAAAGAGCGCGUAGGCGGUCCGGUAAGUCCGCUCUGAAAGUCCGGGGCUCAACCCCGGGAGGCGGGCGGAUACUGUCGGGCUAGAGUCCGGAAGAGGCGAGUGGAAUUCCGGGUGUAGCGGUGGAAUGCGUAGAGAUCCGGAGGAAGACCGGUGGCGAAGGCGGUCUGCUGGGCAGUUUCUGACACUGAUGCGCGACAGCGUGGGGAGCAAACAGG
rnacentral:rRNA from 1 species